rnacentral:rRNA from 1 species
GAAUUCAACUCCUACGGGAGGCAGCAGUGGGGAAUUUUGGACAAUGGGCGCAAGCCUGAUCCAGCCAUGCCGCGUGCGGGAAGAAGGCCUUCGGGUUGUAAACCGCUUUUGUCAGGGAAGAAAAGCACCGAUCUAAUACAACGGUGUCAUGACGGUACCUGAAGAAUAAGCACCGGCUAACUACGUGCCAGCAGCCGCGGUAAUACGUAGGGUGCAAGCGUUAAUCGGAAUUACUGGGCGUAAAGCGUGCGCAGGCGGUUGUGUAAGUCAGAUGUGAAAUCCCCGGGCUCAACCUGGGAAUUGCAUUUGGGACUGCACGGCUAGAGUGUGUCAGAGGGGGGUAGAAUUCCACGUGUAGCAGUGAAAUGCGUAGAUAUGUGGAGGAAUACCGAUGGCGAAGGCAGCCCCCUGGGAUAACACUGACGCUCAUGCACGAAAGCGUGGGGAGCAAACAGGAUUAGAAACCCUAGUAGUCCAGGCGUU